UGGCUCAGGAUGAACGCUAGCUACAGGCUUAACACAUGCAAGUCGAGGGGCAGCAUGGGAGUUUGCUUGCAAACUUCCGAUGGCGACCGGCGCACGGGUGAGUAACACGUAUCCAACCUGCCGAUAACUCGGGGAUAGCCUUUCGAAAGAAAGAUUAAUAUCCGAUAGGAUAUCAAGGUCGCAUGAUCUUGAUAUUAAAGAAUUUCGGUUAUCGAUGGGGAUGCGUUCCAUUAGUUAGUUGGCGGGGUAACGGCCCACCAAGACGACGAUGGAUAGGGGUUCUGAGAGGAAGGUCCCCCACAUUGGAACUGAGACACGGUCCAAACUCCUACGGGAGGCAGCAGUGAGGAAUAUUGGUCAAUGGACGAGAGUCUGAACCAGCCUAGUAGCGUGAAGGAUGACUGCCCUAUGGGUUGUAAACUUCUUUUAUAUGGGAAUAAAACAGGGUAUGCAUACCCUCUUGUAUGUACCAUAUGAAUAAGGAUCGGCUAACUCCGUGCCAGCAGCCGCGGUAAUACGGAGGAUCCGAGCGUUAUCCGGAUUUAUUGGGUUUAAAGGGAGCGUAGGUGGAUUGUUAAGUCAGUUGUGAAAGUUUGCGGCUCAACCGUAAAAUUGCAGUUGAAACUGGCAGUCUUGAGUACAGUAGAGGUGGGCGGAAUUCGUGGUGUAGCGGUGAAAUGCUUAGAUAUCACGAAGAACUCCAAUUGCGAAGGCAGCUCACUGGACUGCAACUGACACUGAUGCUCGAAAGUGUGGGUAUCAAACAGGAUUAGAUACCCUGGUAGUCCACACAGUAAACGAUGAAUACUCGCUGUUUGCGAUAUACAGUAAGCGGCCAAGCGAAAGCAUUAAGUAAUCCACCUGGGGAGUACGCCGGCAACGAUGAAACUCAAAGGAAUUGACGGGGGCCCGCACAAGCGAAGGAACAUGUGGUUUAAUUCGAUGAUACGCGAGGAACUUACCCCGGGCUAAAUUGCACUGAAUAACGUGGAGACAUGUUAGCCGCAAGGCAGGUGUGAAGGUGCUGCAUGGUGGUCGUCAGCUCGUGCCGUGAGGUGUCGGCUUAAGUGCCAUAACGAGCGCAACCCUUAUCUUUAGUUACUAACAGGUUCUGCUGAGGACUCUAGAGAGACUGCCGUCGUAAGAUGUGAGGAAGGUGGGGAUGACGUCAAAUCAGCACGGCCCUUACGUCCGGGGCUACACACGUGUUACAAUGGGGGGUACAGAAGGCAGCUACCUGGCGACAGGAUGCUAAUCCCCAAAACCUCUCUCAGUUCGGAUCGAAGUCUGCAACCCGACUUCGUGAAGCUGGAUUCGCUAGUAAUCGCGCAUCAGCCAUGGCGCGGUGAAUACGUUCCCGGGCCUUGUACACACCGCCCGUCAAGCCAUGAAAGCCGGGGGUACCUGAAGUACGUAACCGCGAGGAGCGUCCUAGGGUAAAACUGGUAAUUGGGGCUAAGUCGUAACAAGG
rnacentral:rRNA from 1 species